GUCUAUGGCCAUACCACCCUGAACAUGACCGAUCUCGUCUGAUCUCAGAAGCAAAACAGGGUUGGGCCUGGUUAGUACUUGGAUGGGAGACCACCUGGGAAUACAGGGUGCUGUAGGCU
ensembl:rRNA 5S_rRNA 5S ribosomal RNA